AGAGUCAACAUUUCAACUUUCUUUUAACAGACAGUCACAACUAUGAGGAUUGUUGAAGCUCCAGCAUUGCCGUGUUUAUGCCCAGUAAUUGACUAAGGACAGCUCCAAUGCUAAAUUACUGACAUCAGUUUCAAGAAAAAUUUCUUCACGUCAUCGAAAAAGCCAUAAUAUAGUAACAACUCUGAUCAACAAAGUAGAAG